rnacentral:misc_RNA from 1 species
GAUAAGAACGCAGCGAAAUGCGAUAAGUAGUGUGAAUUGCAGAAUUCAGUGAAUCAUCGAAUCUUUGAACGCACAUUGCGCCCCUUGGUAUUCCAUGGGGCAUGCCUGUUCGAGCGUCAUUUGUACCUUCAAGCCUUGCUUGGUGUUGGGUGUUUGUCUCGCCUCUGCGCGCAGACUCGCCUCAAAACAAUUGGCAGCCGGCGUAUUGAUUUCGGAGCGCAGUACAUCUCGCGCUUUGCACUCAGAACGACGACGUCCAAAAGUACAUUUUUACACUCUUGACCUCGGAUCAGGUAGGGAUACCCGCUGAACUUAAGCAUAUCAAUAAGCGGAGGA